rnacentral:rRNA from 1 species
AUGGAACACGAAAUACCAAAAAAAAUAGGUGGACUUGCUACUCAUGGAGAUGGGGAACCUCCUAAAACCUUCGUUGAUCAUUAUGUGAAAGAUAUUAUGUACUACUUUGAUAAUCCUGAGAAAACCCCAUUCAACUUUAUAAUGGGAGUAACGUUGGAUCAACGUGAAUACUGUAAGGAUUAUCGCUUGACUCAAAAAGGGAAACUAUUAUGGGAUCAAAUUUAUAUGUUAUAUUGGUAUGCUAGGCAACUAUGCUUGAGAUAUGAUUAUAUUUGUUGCUCUAGGAUGAAGUCUCCACACCUUCCCUUUUCAUGCGAAUUUAAUGAUAAUGAAACCUUGGCUUCUUAUGCUAGAGGUAUAUAUGAUUACUAUGAUGUGGAACAAAUAGAAGAAUUUGUUGCUUUUAUGGGUGCUUAUGAAAUUGAAUCUAUGUUCAAAGAGUUUGAAAAUCUUUAUGAUGUUGUUUAUAGACCUGAAAAUUUAGCUAUCCUUAAAUAUUGCUAUGCCAAUUAUGAAUUCAAUUCCGAUAUUGAUGCAUUUAUUGAGAAAGUCUCCACUGUCCAAGAAGAGACUAAUAUUUUGCAGGAGUCUAUGGAAGAAGAAAUUGAUGAAACUGUGAGCUCAUUGGAUGAAAAAGAUGACGAGGAGAGCGAAGAACAAAAGGAGGAAGAGCGGAUUAGCUACCCGUGCCCACCUUCUAAUGAGAGUAACUCUUCAACUCAUACAUUGUUUAAUUUCCCUUCGUGCUUACCGAAGGAUGAAUGCCGUGAUGAUUGCUAUGAUCCCUUGAAUUCGUUUGAAAUAUCCCUUUUUGAUGAACUUAAUGCUUGCUAUGCUUGUGGACAAGAUGCCAAUAUGAAUUAUACUUAUGGAGAUGAACUUGCUAUAGUUCCUUAUGUUAUGAAUAAAAUUGUUGCUAUUGCACCCACGCAUGAUAGUCCUAUUAUCUUUUUGAAUUCUCCCGACUACACUAUAUCGGAGAAGUUUGCACUUAUUAAGGAUUAUAUUGAUGGGUUGCGUUUUACUAUUACACAUGAUGAUUUUGAUAGAUAUAAUAUGCAUGUGCUUGCUGCUCCUACUUGCAAUUAUUAUGAGAGAGGAACUAUAUCUUCACCUCUCUAUGUUUCCCACACGAUAAAAUUGCAAGAAACUACUUACGGUAUGUAUUGGCCUUUACUAGGUGUGCAUGAAUUGUUCUUUUAUGACAUGCCGAUGCAUAGGAAGAGAGUUAGACUUCGUCAUUGCUUGAUAUAUGUUGCUUUGUCCUCACUACUAAAUGCCAAAUCAUUGCCAAUUAAAAUUGGCUUUGAUAUACCUUGGGAUCCGGGUGGAUUCACUACUUGA